UACGAAGGGGGCUAGCGUUGUUCGGAAUUACUGGGCGUAAAGGGCGCGUAGGCGGCCUUCUAAGUCGAACGUGAAAUCCCCGGGCUCAACCCGGGAACUGCGUCCGAUACUGGAAGGCUUGAAUCCGGGAGAGGGAUGUGGAAUUCCAGGUGUAGCGGUGAAAUGCGUAGAUAUCUGGAGGAACACCGGUGGCGAAGGCGGCAUCCUGGACCAAUUCUGACGCUGAGUGAGCGAAAGCCAGGGGAGCAAACGGG
rnacentral:rRNA from 1 species